GACGAACGCUGGCGGCGUGCCUAAUACAUGCAAGUAGAACGCUGAAGGAGGAGCUUGCUUCUCUGGAUGAGUUGCGAACGGGUGAGUAACGCGUAGGUAACCUGCCUGGUAGCGGGGGAUAACUAUUGGAAACGAUAGCUAAUACCGCAUAACAGUAGAUAUCGCAUGAUAUCUACUUGAAAGGUGCAAUUGCAUCACUACCAGAUGGACCUGCGUUGUAUUAGCUAGUUGGUGAGGUAACGGCUCACCAAGGCGACGAUACAUAGCCGACCUGAGAGGGUGAUCGGCCACACUGGGACUGAGACACGGCCCAGACUCCUACGGGAGGCAGCAGUAGGGAAUCUUCGGCAAUGGACGGAAGUCUGACCGAGCAACGCCGCGUGAGUGAAGAAGGGUUUCGGAUCGUAAAGCUCUGUUGUAAGAGAAGAACGAGUGUGAGAGUGGAAAAUUCACACUGUGACGGUAUCUUACCAGAAAGGGACGGCUAACUACGUG
rnacentral:rRNA from 1 species